rnacentral:lncRNA from 1 species
AGAUUUCAGGGAGUGCAUCGCCACCAUUCCAGGAGGCCAGCUGCUGCAAUGGCUUAUGCCAGUUUCCGGUUGCUUGGCUACAGUUGAAACGAAUAAAAAGAGAAACCAGACUGAUUCGCGAGCGUAGGGCUUUGAAAGAAGCAGUAAAAAAUACAUCUGGAAAAAAGAAAGACAAAAAGGAAAAGAAGAAAAAGGGAAAGAAGAAAAAGGGAAAGAAGAAAAAGGAAAAGAAGGAAAAGGAAAAGAAGAAAAAGGAAGAGAGCUAAAUACAAAACGCUGGUGAUGCCACUCCCUUUUGGAAAUCACUUGGUGGAGGGGACACUAACACAGGCAGCACCAGUAACGCAGUUCACUUGGUACAACCUUGGUUUGCGAGGGCGGUGGACAGCAGCAAGGGUACCAUGUGCCGAUUAGUAACGCGUACACGAUACUUGGAGGUUGUUCAAGGCUCAUUCAUUCUUAAACAGAACGACACGGCGGAAGGUUCUUUUCAAUGCUCAUUGAAAAGCUAUAAAUCAGAAUUGCUGUGAUUCUUUUAUUUGCGGGCUACAGACAUUGAGGCGGCAAGUUGAUAUUUUUAUGUCUAUAUACUUUGUGGGGUAAGUAUUUAUGGACGCCGAGUUAUCUUUAGCACUUCCCUCACUUGUCAGCCAUUGCGAAAAUUCCUAAAAAUUGUUCACAUUGUGAUUUGGAAAAAAAAAGAAGUUCUGCUACAUAUUUUGUACUUUUUAUGCUUCCAUUCACUUUUGCUUACGGGAAUUGAAGAAUGCGAUGUUCAAUAAAAAUUUCCUGAUUUC